rnacentral:rRNA from 1 species
GACGAACGCUGGCGGCGUGCCUAAUACAUGCAAGUAGGACGCAGUUGCGAACGGGUGAGGAACGCGUAGGAAACUGCCUAUGAGAGGGGGGUAACUAUUGGAAACGAUAGCUAAUACCGCAUACUAGUAGAUGGACCUGCGUUGUAUUAGGUAGGAGGUAGGGUAAUGGCCUACCUAGGCGACGAUACAUGGCCGACCUGAUAGGGGGAUCGGCCACACUGGGACUGAUACACGGCCCAGACUCCGUCGGUGGGCAGCAGUAGGGAAUCUUCGGCAAUGGGGGGAACCCUGACCGGGCAACGCCGCGUGAGUGAAGAAGGUUUUCGGAUCGUAAAGCGCUGGUGUUAAGGAAGCGGUACUUAACCAGAAAGGGACGGCUAACUACGUGCCAGCAGCCGCGGUAAUAC